rnacentral:RNase_MRP_RNA from 2 species
UCCAUGGGGAAAGAAUCAUCUUUCGAGGCUUUCAUACGGAGCGUCAGCUCAUGAUGCCUUGGGGAAAGUCUCCGGCAGUAGAUUGCAGGCGGAAACGUCGAUGGGUCACAUAACUCAUCAGCAGUGAGGAGUCAGGUCGCAGAAAUGGUUCUUACUUGUUUUGAUUGGUUGACACCUUAGCCUCUUGCUAUUGUUGGUGUUGACUAGUUGGAGCUUGUAUUUAUUGAGCUAUAGAUGUGUCUGACAAUGCACUGCUCUAUUCAAGAGCUUCUUUAGCUCUUUGAUUGGGAGGCUUCUCCUGAUAUUCUGCACUGGAUACUCUUAUCUAAACCAUAGUUAUGAUGAUUGUCAACAUUGUUGUUGAUAACCCAAUGGAGCUCACUUUUUUCCAUGG